rnacentral:SRP_RNA from 1 species
CCGUGCAACCGGGGAGUUAGCGGUGCCCUGUAUCUGCAAUCCGCUAUAGCAGAGGUGAUGUCCUUCCGAGGGCGGUUCGGUGUAUGGCUGCCCCUUAUAAGUAAUGUUGACGUUCGGGUCUUAUGCAAUGAAAAUCUAUGAAUCGUGUCAGGUCAGGAAUGAAGCAGCACUAAGUAGACGCUUUCAUGUGCCAUGAGGGUGCCUGGGCCGAGUUGGCUGUAAGGGUAACGCAUGUGCGAAUCGUUCGACGCGGGACGCACGG